UACGUAGGCAGCAAGCGUUGUUCGGAAUUACUGGGCGUAAAGAGUGUGUAGGCGGUGUUCUAAGUUUGUCGUGAAAUCUCCCGGCUUAACUGGGAGGGUGCGGCGAAAACUGGAAUGCUAGAGGAUGGGAGAGGUAAGCGGAAUUCCUGGUGUAGCGGUGAAAUGCGUAGAUAUCAGGAGGAACACCUGUGGUGUAGACAGCUUGCUGGACCAUUUCUGACGCUGAGACACGAAAGCGUGGGUAGCAAACAGG
rnacentral:rRNA from 1 species